rnacentral:rRNA from 1 species
UACAGAGACUGCGAGCGUUAUUCGGAUUCACUGGGCGUAAAGGGCUCGUAGGCGGCCAACUAAGUCAGACGUGAAAUCCCUCGGCUUAACCGGGGAACUGCGUCUGAUACUGGAUGGCUCGAGUUUGGGAGAGGGAUGCGGAAUUCCAGGUGUAGCGGUGAAAUGCGUAGAUAUCUGGAGGAACACCGGUGGCGAAGGCGGCAUCCUGGACCAACACUGACGCUGAUGAGCGAAAGCCAGGGGAGCAAACGGG